UUACUGCUAUCGGUGUUCGCCUAAGCCAUGCGAGUCAUAUGUUCUUCGUGAACAUGGCGUACUGCUCAGUAACACGUGGAUAACCUGCCCUUGGGUCCGGCAUAACCCCGGGAAACUGGGGAUAAUUCCGGAUAACGCAUAUUUGCUGGAAUGCUUUAUGCGUCAAAUGGAUUCGUCUGCCCAAGGAUGGGUCUGCGGCCUAUCAGGUAGUAGUGGGUGUAAUGUACCUACUAGCCGACAACGGGUACGGGUUGUGAGAGCAAGAGCCCGGAGAUGGAUUCUGAGACAUGAAUCCAGGCCCUACGGGGCGCAGCAGGCGCGAAAACUUUACAAUGCGGGAAACCGUGAUAAGGGGACACCGAGUGCCAGCAUCAUAUGCUGGCUGUCCAGGUGUGUAAAAUACACCUGUUAGCAAGGGCCGGGCAAGACCGGUGCCAGCCGCCGCGGUAACACCGGCGGCCCGAGUGGUGAUCGUGAUUAUUGGGUCUAAAGGGUCCGUAGCCGGUUUGGUCAGUCCUCCGGGAAAUCUGAUAGCUCAACUAUUAGGCUUUCGGGGG
rnacentral:rRNA from 1 species